rnacentral:rRNA from 1 species
ACGUCUACAUUAGAUACCCCGGUAGUCCCAGCCGUAAACUAUGCGCGUUAGGUGUAUCGGUGACCACGAGUCACCGAGGUGCCGAAGGGAAACCGUGAAACGUGCCGCCUGGGAAGUACGGUCGCAAGGCUGAAACUUAAAGGAAUUGGCGGGGGAGCACCACAACAGGUGGAGCCUGCGGUUUAAUUGGACUCAACGCCGGGAAGCUCACCGGAUAGGACAGCAGAAUGAUUGCCGGGCUGAAGACCCUGCAUGACUAGCUG